rnacentral:rRNA from 1 species
GAUGAACGCUAGCGGCAGGCCUCAUACAUGCAAGUCGAGGGGCAGCAGGACACUUCGGUGUUGCUGGCGACCGGCGAACGGGUGCGUAACACGUAUGCAAUCUACCUUGUACUGGGGAAUAGCUUCCGGAAACGGGAAUUAAUGCCCCAUAUACUCCUAACAGUUCAUGCUGACGGGAGGAAAGCUCCGGCGGUACAAGAUGAGCAUGCGUCCCAUUAGCUAGUUGGUAAGGUAACGGCUUACCAAGGCGAUGAUGGGUAGGGGUUCUGAGAGGAAGAUCCCCCACACUGGCACUGAGAUACGGGCCAG